CUGGCGGCAUGGCUAAGACUUGCAAGUCGAACGGACCAUAUAAUUGGGUAACCGAAAGUAUGGUUAGUGGCGAAAGGGUGAGGAAUAGAUAGGAACGUACCCUGUGCUCUGGGAUAGCGUCUGAAGCUUCGGCUUCUUCCGAAAGGGGCGGUAAUACCAGAUAAUGUCCUUCGGGACCAAAGAUUUAUCGGCAUUGGAGCGGCCUAUCUCCUAUCAGCUUGUUGGUGAGGUAACGGCUCACCAAGGCAACGACGGGUAGCGGGACUGAGAGGUUGGCCCGCCACAUCGGGACUGAGACACUGCCCGGACCUCCACGGAGGGCUGCAGUAACGGAUAUUGGGCAAUGGGCGAAAGCCUGACCCAGCAAUGCCGCGUGCAGGAUGAAGCCCCUAGGGGUGUAAACUGCUGUCAGGGGUCAGAAAGCUGGUUUCGGCCAGUUGAUCAACCCCAGAGGAAGUCACGGCUAACUUCGUGCCAGCAGCCGCGGUAAUACGAAGGUGGCAAGCGUUAUUCGGAAUCAUUGGGCUUAAAGGGCACGCAGGCGGAACAGUGUGUGUUGUGUGAAAUCCCCCGGCUUAACCGGGGAAUUGCACAGCAAACUGCUGUUCUUGAGGCAGGUAGGGGUGCAUGGAACUCUUGGUGGAGCGGUGGAAUGCGUAGAUAUCAAGAGGAACGCCAGAGGUGAAGACGGUGCACUGGGCCUGUCCUGACGCUGAGGUGCGAAAGCGUGGGGAGCGAACGGGAUUAGAUACCCCGGUAGUCCA
rnacentral:rRNA from 1 species